CAAAGGUAGCAUAAUCAUUAGUUUUUUAAUUAAAAGCUUGUAUGAAGGGUUGGACGAGGUAAAAUCUGUCUCUAUUUAAAUUAAUAUAGAAUUUAAUUUUUAAGUUAAAAAGCUUAAAUUUAUUUAAAAGACGAGAAGACCCUAUAGAUCUUUAUAUAAAUUUUAAUAGUUUUAAUUAAGAAUAUUUUAUUUAUUAUUAUUAUUUAUAUUUUAUUGGGGUAAUAAAAAGAUUAAAUUAAUUCUUUUUUUAUUUAAACAUUUAUUUAUGAUUAAAUGAUCCAAUAUUUUUGAUUAAAAGAUUAAGUUACCUUAGGGAUAACAGCGUAAUUUUUUUAGAGAGUUCAUAUCGAUAAAAAAGUUUGCGACCUCGAUG
rnacentral:rRNA from 1 species